AUUCCUGCCUGGCAGGGGAGGUACCCUCCACGAUCUCGAAGGUGGUUUCCCAGGGAGAGGCUUAUCCAAAGCACUCGGGAUGUGCUGACCCCUGCGAUUUCCCCAAAUGUGGGAAAUGCAACUGUAUAAUUUGUGGUAGUGGGAGACUGCAUUCCUGCUCUGCCCUG